CAAAUACUCCCUCCGUCCGGAAAUACUUGUCAUCAAAAUAGACCAAAAAAGGAUGUAUCUAGAACUAAAAUACAUCUAGAUACACCCCUUUUCAUUCAUUUUGAUGACAAGUAUUUCCAGACGGAGGGAAUAGCAA
rfam:Triticum aestivum genome assembly, contig: Triticum_aestivum_CS42_TGACv1_scaffold_577554_7BL